rnacentral:tRNA from 1 species
GCCCUCGUAGCUCAGUGGAAGAGCAACCGCCUCCUAAGCGGUAGGUCGAAGGUUCGAAUCCUUUCGAGGGCACCA